CCUGUCUGAAUAUGGGGGGACCAUCCUCCAAGGCUAAAUACUCCUGACUGACCGAUAGUGAACCAGUACCGUGAGGGAAAGGCGAAAAGAACCCCGGCGAGGGGAGUGAAAAAGAACCUGAAACCGUGUACGUACAAGCAGUGGGAGCCUCUUAAUGGGGUGACUGCGUACCUUUUGUAUAAUGGGUCAGCGACUUAUAUUCUGUAGCAAGGUUAACCGAAUAGGGGAGCCGAAGGGAAACCGAGUCUUAACUGGGCGUUAAGUUGCAGGGUAUAGACCCGAAACCCGGUGAUCUAGCCAUGGGCAGGUUGAAGGUUGGGUAACACUAACUGGAGGACCGAACCGACUAAUGUUGAAAAAUUAGCGGAUGACUUGUGGCUGGGGGUGAAAGGCCAAUCAAACCGGGAGAUAGCUGGUUCUCCCCGAAAGCUAUUUAGGUAGCGCCUCGUGAAUUCAUCUCCGGGGGUAGAGCACUGUUUCGGCAAGGGGGUCAUCCCGACUUACCAACCCGAUGCAAACUGCGAAUACCGGAGAAUGUUAUCACGGGAGACACACGGCGGGUGCUAACGUCCGUCGUGAAGAGGGAAACAACCCAGACCGCCAGCUAAGGUCCCAAAGUCAUGGUUAAGUGGGAAACGAUGUGGGAAGGCCCAGACAGCCAGGAUGUUGGCUUAGAAGCAGCCAUCAUUUAAAGAAAGCGUAAUAGCUCACUGGUCGAGUCGGCCUGCGCGGAAGAUGUAACGGGGCUAAACCAUGCACCGAAGCUGCGGCAGCGACACUAUGUGUUGUUGGGUAGGGGAGCG
rnacentral:rRNA from 1 species